UGCGUCCAGAGGCGAAGCAGCGGUACUUGCAGAAAAUAGCGUGCAUUGGAAAUGUGGACCCGUAUGAAAUACGGCCGUGGAGUAGAAACCCUGAAGACCAACCGCUAUUGACGUAGCCUGACAUAUUUCGUACCUUGUCUGUGGAGUCAGCGCGUACAAGUCGUCAUUCAAACAAAGGUGCUGCACUCUAAGACUGAAUGAACCAGCAUUGCAGCCAUGGGUCACUGUGAGCAUCACAGGGAAGGUUGAAGCCGCCCGCUGCAGCUGUAUGGCCGGAGUCGCAGAGACCUGCAGCCAUGUCGCUGCUCUUCUGUUUAAUGUAGAAGCAACAGUGUUGAUCCGUGGCACAAGGACUGUUACAGAUGAACCUGCAUACUGGGUUUUGCUGGGUAAUAUGACCAAGAUACAGCCAGAGGUUGGCCAUAAGAUAGACUUCUCCUCUUCAGCUGCCCAAAAAAAGGCUCUUGAUCAAAACAUAAACAGACCAUCUGUAGUGACAGGGAAAAGGAGCCGUCCUCAAAACAGAAAAAUCCCACCUGCUACUGUGGAGGAGUCGUCACUGCUAUUGGAUACUUUGCUGGAACACAGUAAAGCUGUGGGUUGUGGGAAUGACCCAUAAUGUUUUAUCUAGGGGUCUAGAUUUAUGCCUGUAGUGCACUGCUGUGUAAAUAAUUUGCAUUUACUGAAUAUGUACUGACUGAGUCCCACUGUUCAAAAGUUGAAUAAAGAAACAAACUAA